rnacentral:rRNA from 1 species
CCUACGGGAGGCUGCAGUGGGGGAUAUUGCACAAUGGGGGGAACCCUGAUGCAGCGACGCCGCGUGGGUGAAGAAGCGCCUCGGCGCGUAAAGCCCUGUCAGCAGGGAAGAAAAUGACGGUACCUGAAGAAGAAGCCCCGGCUAACUACGUGCCAGCAGCCGCGGUAAUACGUAGGGGGCAAGCGUUAUCCGGAUUUACUGGGUGUAAAGGGGGCGCAGACGGCGAUGCAAGCCAGGAGUGAAAGCCCGGGGCCCAACCCCGGGACUGCGCUUGGAACUGCGUGGCUAGAGUGCAGGAGGGGCAGGCGGAAUUCCUGGGGUAGCGGUGAAAUGCGUAGAUAUCAGGAGGAACACCGGUGGCGAAGGCGGCCUGCUGGACUGCAACUGACGUUGAGGCCCGAAAGCGUGGGGAGCAAACAGGAUUAGAUACCCUAGUAGUC